AGUUUGAUCCUGGCUCGAAUGAACGCUGGCGGCAGGCCUAACACAUGCAAGUCGAACGGAGUUAUAUUGUAGCUUGCUAUGGUAUAACUUGGUGGCAAACGGGUGAGUAAUGUAUAGGAAUCUACCUAGUAGUACGGAAUAAUUGUUGGAAACGGCAACUAGUACCGUAUACGCCCUACGGGGGAAAAAUUUAUUGCUAUUAGAUGAGCCUAUAUUAGAUUAGCUAGUUGGUGGAGUAAUAGCCUACCAAGGCAAUGAUCUAUAGCUGAUCUGAGAGGAUGAUCAGCCACACUGGAACUGAGAUACGGUCCAGACUCCUACGGGAGGCAGCAGUGGGGAAUAUUGGACAAUGGGCGAAAGCCUGAUCCAGCCAUGCCGCAUGAGUGAAGAAGGCCUUUGGGUUGUAAAGCUCUUUUAGUGAGGAAGAUAAUGACGGUACUCACAGAAGAAGUCCUGGCUAACUCCGUGCCAGCAGCCGCGGUAAUACGGAGAGGGCUAGCGUUAUUCGGAAUUAUUGGGCGUAAAGGGCGCGUAGGCGGAUUAGUAAGUUAAAAGUGAAAUCCCAAGGCUCAACCUUGGAAUUGCUUUUAAAACUGCUAAUCUAGAGAUUGAAAGAGGAUAGAGGAAUUCCUAGUGUAGAGGUGAAAUUCGUAAAUAUUAGGAGGAACACCAGUGGCGAAGGCGUCUAUCUGGUUCAAAUCUGACGCUGAGGCGCGAAUGCGUGGGGAGCAAACAGGAUUAGAUACCCUGGUAGUCCACGCUGUAAACGAUGAAUGUUAAAUAUGGGGAAGUUUACUUUCUGUAU
rnacentral:rRNA from 1 species